AUUGAACGCUGGCGGCAGGCCUAACACAUGCAAGUCGAGCGGUUGACGGGAGCUUGCUCCCUGAUUCAGCGGCGGACGGGUGAGUAAUGCCUAGGAAUCUGCCUAUUAGUGGGGGACAACGUUUCGAAAGGAACGCUAAUACCGCAUACGUCCUACGGGAGAAAGCAGGGGACCUUCGAGCCUUGCGCUAAUAGAUGAGCCUAGGUCGGAUUAGCUAGUUGGUGAGGUAAUGGCUCACCAAGGCGACGAUCCGUAACUGGUCUGAGAGGAUGAUCAGUCACACUGGAACUGAGACACGGUCCAGACUCCUACGGGAGGCAGCAGUGGGGAAUAUUGGACAAUGGGCGAAAGCCUGAUCCAGCCAUGCCGCGUGUGUGAAGAAGGUCUUCGGAUUGUAAAGCACCUUAAAUUGGGAGGAAGGGUUGUAGAUUAAUACUCUGCAAUUUUGACGUUACCGACAGAAUAAGCACCGGCUAACUCUGUGCCAGCAGCCGCAGUAAUAC
rnacentral:rRNA from 1 species